rnacentral:sRNA from 1 species
UACCUAUACACCACAGCAAUAAAGCGUUGAGAAAGUCUCAACACAAUGUAUUAAACGAAAACGGGUGUAGCCAAUGCUUACUGCAAAUAUGAAAUACUGGUCCUGGAUGGGCGCAUUUUCCGUCUCGCUGCUCUUUUGGGCUGAACUAUUCUGGAUCCUGAUGAAUUAAUCUCAAACCUCGCUCCGGCGAGGUUUUCGUUU